GAGGAGGCGGAGAGGAGGCGGCCCGCCCGGAGCAGAGAGCCGUGGCUGGCGGGGGCAGCGAGACGCCGGGCGGCGGAUCGGCGGAUGCGGCUCUGGCGGGGAGCGGGGCUGGUGGCGCUGGCCGCGGUUCUGCUCGGAGCGCAGGUCUGGCGGCCGGGGACCGUGGGGCCGCGGCUGGGGCUGGGAGCCCAGGUGCAGCAGGACCCAUUGCUAGAGACCACCGAGGGCAGUGAAAUCACCAUCAAGUGCUCAAACGCAAACAUACGAAUCGGGGAUUUUAUCCAUUUCUACCGGCAACUGCCGGGCCACAGCCCCGAGCUCCUCGCACGCGCUGCUAAAGGGUCCAGAGAGCUGCGGGCGCCAGCCUGGCUGCUCUUUGUGUCGGAAGAUCCUCUUUGGAAAAUCCUCUGGCUCUCCGGGCCCCGUCAUGGGGAGGCGGCGCUGUAUUCCUGCGCCCUGGCGGACACGGACCCGUUGACACCGUCUUCCUCGGAGCUUUCAGGGGAUUUUCUCAGAAACACACAUCUCGGUUAA